GUGUGUGCCGCGCGCGGGAAACGCCGUUCUCCGCUCCAGGCGUCGGCGGGCGGUGGCGAGAGCAGGUCGGCAGCCGCUGCUGCGGGGAGAAGCAGUAUCGUGCAGGGCGGGCACGCUGGUCUUGCUUACAGUUGGGCUUCGGUGGGUUUGAAGCACACAUUAGGGGGAAAUGGCUCUGUUCCUGCAGGUUUGCGCAGUCUGGGUUUCUUAGGUUUAGGGGGUUGGGUGGGUUUCUCUGGGGGUGCGGUGGGAAGCGGAUCAGUUCGGAUAACGGCCCUGAGCAAGAGUCUCUGUCCCGCUCCCGGCCUGACGCGGGGCUUCCAGCGGACACGACCAACGGUUUUAUAGGUUCAGAAAGUGUGUCUCAGAGGAGUUAGAGAAGACCGAUUAAUAGAUGACAGUGCUAAAGCCUGGAUCUCCUGAAUCCUGGGUCUGGGAUACAUGUGCAGAAUGUGCAGGUUUGUUAAUAGGCAUACGUGUGCCAUGGUGGUUUGCUGCCCCUUCAACCCGUCAUCUAGAUUUUAAGCCCCGCAUGCAUUAGGUUGGGGGAAGUUCUAUGAAAUCUAAGUUGAUGAACAUUAUUCCCCCUGCUGAUACCAAAAGUCCUGACUUGUAAGGAGGACAAAGCUGAGGUGAAAGUGUCCUAAGUUAGAUUCCUGGGAAGAAAAUUCUGAGACACAUUCUGCAGGAUGAUUAUUAGGGCUCAUCCUUGGUUUCAACACCCAUAGAAGGAAGGGGGAAGAAGAAAUCGAACAGAGAGACAGAAGUCGAGAUGCAUUUCAGGCCAGGACUCUUGGCUGAACCCACAGGAGCUCUGGAGCUAGAAUGGCCCUUCAGAGUUGUCCUGAGUUGGUCUGAGAUGGCCAGUUCUUUAUAUUCCUGCAUGGGAUAGUCACUGGAUGUCCACCCCAGGAAGGGGUGUGGCCAAGACAGUCCCUAAAAUGCCCGCCAGCACUCCCUACACCUGGAGCGACAAGACCAACAUCACAGGGGGAAUGCACUGGGUGAUGGAUCACAGCGUUCAUCCCAGAAGAUGAGGAUACAGAAUUGGCUGACAACUACGUUCUAAAUGUCAGUGUUCUCCAAAAUUCAUAUGUUGAAACUUAAUUCCCAAUGUGAUGGCAUUAGGAAGUGGGGCCUUUGGGGGAGGGACUAUAGGUCAUGAGGGUGU
rnacentral:lncRNA from 1 species